rnacentral:tRNA from 1 species
UUAACCCAAAGCAAGGCACUGAAAAUGCCUAGAUGAGUCUCCCAACUCCAUAAACA